rnacentral:rRNA from 1 species
AACGUUGGCGGCGUGCUUAAUACAUGCAAGUCAACUGAAGCACCGGUAGUAAUACUGGUGUGGAGGUGGCGCACGGGUGAGUAACACGUAGGUAAUCUGCCUUCAGGUCUGACAUAACCCCGAGAAAUCGGGGCUAAUAGCAGAUGAUGCAGCGGCUUGACAUCAAGACAGUUGUUAAAGCUUCGGCGCCUGAAGAUGAGCCUGCGUCUGAUUAGCUAGUUGGCGGAGUAAUGGCCCACCAAGGCUACGAUCAGUAACUGGUCUGAGAGGAUGAUCAGUCACACUGGAACUGAGACACGGUCCAGACUCCUACGGGAGGCAGCAGUAAGGAAUAUUGCUCAAUGGGAGAAAUCCUGAAGCAGCAACGCCGCGUGAGGGAUGAAGGGCUUUUGCUCGUAAACCUCUGUAGUGAGGGAAAAAAUUUCCACUCUGUGGAAUAUGAUGGUACCUCAAAAGUAAGCCCCGGCUAACUACGUG